AGGACGAACGCUGGCGGCGUGCUUAACACAUGCAAGUCGAGCGGUAAGGCCUUUCGGGGUACACGAGCGGCGAACGGGUGAGUAACACGUGGGUGAUCUGCCCUGCACUCUGGGAUAAGCCUGGGAAACUGGGUCUAAUACCGGAUAUGACCUGCUCUCGCAUGGGGGUGGGUGGAAAGAUUUAUCGGUGCAGGAUGGGCCCGCGGCCUAUCAGCUUGUUGGUGGGGUAAUGGCCUACCAAGGCGACGACGGGUAGCCGACCUGAGAGGGUGACCGGCCACACUGGGACUGAGACACGGCCCAGACUCCUACGGGAGGCAGCAGUGGGGAAUAUUGCACAAUGGGCGAAAGCCUGAUGCAGCGACGCCGCGUGAGGAUGAAGGCCUUCGGGUUGUAAACCUCUUUCAGCAGGACGAAGCGCAAGUGACGGUACCGUGCAGAAGAAGCACCGGCUAACUACGUGCCAGCAGCCGC
rnacentral:rRNA from 1 species